GUUGAUGUCGGUCUUACCCGAUGUUCCAGAACCACAUCAUGGUUGUGAUGUUGUCGUUCAUUGUUGUUGUAUCUUGUCUCAGCUCUUGUACUGCAGUGGCGUGGUCCUAGUUCCAUUUUUGUUGCUCUUCCAGGAGUCGUCCAUGUUCUGCUUGCGUGUUCUGGAUGUCGAGGAGGGUGUUGUCGGUACAGGUGAAGAAAGCGCCGGCCUCUUGGUAGUAGUCGUUCGUGAAAGCGUAGGAGGCGUCGGAGUAUCGUCCUGCAUCGAAUUGGGGCUGAGGUCUGGAUCCUGAAGCUCCAUAUGGAUCAGUGGAGUACCUGCCCGUAUGAAAAGGCAGGUUUGUCCACUGGUGAUCUUGGCUCUUCGGCCAUGUCUCCUGUGUUGGCUCUUGUGGUUGCGCAUGUCGAACCCACGGGUCUCAAAGGACUCGGGGGUUGUAGUCGCUAUAAUGCAGGUGCGCUGCUUCUUCUAGCCCGGGAUCAGCUCCAUACCAGGU
rnacentral:lncRNA from 1 species